UGAACGCUGGCGGCGUGCCUAAUACAUGCAAGUCGAGCGACCAGAUGCGGAGCUUGCUCCUCUGACGUUAGCGGCGGACGGGUGAGUAACACGUGGAUAACCUACCUAUAAGACUGGGAUAACUUCGGGAAACCGGAGCUAAUACCGGAUAAUAUAUUGAACCGCAUGGUUCAAUAGUGAAAGACGGUUUUGCUGUCACUUAUAGAUGGAUCCGCGCCGCAUUAGCUAGUUGGUAAGGUAACGGCUUACCAAGGCGACGAUGCGUAGCCGACCUGAGAGGGUGAUCGGCCACACUGGAACUGAGACACGGUCCAGACUCCUACGGGAGGCAGCAGUAGGGAAUCUUCCGCAAUGGGCGAAAGCCUGACGGAGCAACGCCGCGUGAGUGAUGAAGGUCUUCGGAUCGUAAAACUCUGUUAUUAGGGAAGAACAAAUGUGUAAGUAACUAUGCACGUCUUGACGGUACCUAAUCAGAAAGCCACGGCUAACUACGUG
rnacentral:rRNA from 1 species